UACGAGGGGGGCAGGCGUUGUUCGGAAUUAUUGGGCGUAAAGGGUGCGUAGGCGGUGCGGUAAGUCUGUUGUGAAAUCUCCGGGCUCAACUCGGAGUCUGCAUCAGAAACUGCCGUGCUGGAGUGUGGGAGAGGUGAGUGGAAUUCCCGGUGUAGCGGUGAAAUGCGUAGAGAUCGGGAGGAACACCUGCGGCGAAAGCGAGGUCCUGGACGCCUACUGACGCUGAGACGCGAAAGCCAGGGGAGCGAACGGG
rnacentral:rRNA from 1 species